rnacentral:rRNA from 1 species
UACGUAGGGGGCAAGCGUUGUCCGGAUUUAUUGGGCGUAAAGCGCGUGUAGGCGGCCAGGUAGGUCCGCUGUGAAAACCCGAGGCUCAACCUCGGGACGUCGGCGGAAACCAUCUGGCUAGAGUCCGGAAGAGGAGAGUGGAAUUCCCGGGUAGUAGCGGGUGAAAUGCGCAGAUAUCGGGAAGAACACCCGUGGCGAAGGCGGCUCUCUGGGACGGUACUGACGCUGAGACGCGAAAGCGUGGGGAGCGAACAGGAUUGAGAUACCGGUAG